AUACGGAGGAUGCGAGCGUUAUCCGGAUUUAUUGGGUUUAAAGGGAGCGUAGGUGGGAUAUUAAGUCAGCUGUGAAAGUUUGGGGCUCAACCUUAAAAUUGCAGUUGAUACUGGUUUCCUUGAGUACGGUACAGGUGGGCGGAAUUCGUGGUGUAGCGGUGAAAUGCUUAGAUAUCACGAAGAACUCCGAUCGCGAAGGCAGCUCACCGGGCCGGAACUGACACUGAUGCUCGAAAGUGCGGGUAUCAAACAGGAUUAGAUACCCUGGUAGUCCGCACAGUAAACGAUGAAUACUCGCUGUUUGCGAUACACGGUAAGCGGCCAAGCGAAAGCGUUAAGUAUUCCACCUGGGGAGUACGCCGGCAACGGUGAAACUUAAAGGAAUUGGCGGGG
rnacentral:rRNA from 1 species